rnacentral:lncRNA from 1 species
UUUACACCAACCUUCGACCACAACCUUCCCCUCACAUCACCCUCACAACCCCUCUGUUCGUUAACAACCCCGCCGGAGACCACCUAGUCGUCGCCGGAGACGAAACAGUAGGCCGCCAUAUCACCACCACGAAACCUUUCACCAUCCUCCGUUUUGACCCGCAAUACCUUGGAGAACCCUUGUUCGGAGACCCGCAACCACCGGAGAUCAUGAUGAAAUGGUUUGGCCAUGUUUCGUUCAACCGAGCUCGAUGUAAUCGGAACUCCACUCCGUCCCUGUUGCGGUAUACCAUCCUCCCCGGAACCCUACUCGGCUCGUUUUUCAAAACAUUGGGUGAUGUUGCUUGUUAACUGGGAGUUCGCUGGGUCCUCUUCAGGAAGAAGAAGAAGGUGUCAAUUUUUACAAAGG